GCUCUCAGAGGCGAAGAAGGACGUGAUAAGCUGCGAAAAGCUGCGGGGAUUGGCACAUACGAAUAGAUCCGCAGAUUCCGAUG
rnacentral:rRNA from 1 species